CCAGCCUAGAAGUUUCUGAGUGCUCUGACACAUGGGUGUCUGAGGGAGACAGUGAUGGUCACAAGAAACAGAAGCCCCUCAAGCUCGACAAGGGUGGCUCCAGCCAAGGGCAAACUGGUGGGGCAGUGUCUCCCUGACUACUGGAGAGACAGGACACAGACACACAGCUGUCUCCACCAGCAUGGAGGAUAGCCUAACCAAGUCCCCAUCUCUCCAUUCUAAUUUCUCCCUGACUGUAAGGAACCUGCUAUGUCACCUUCCUGUGUAGGGAGACAGAAGAAGACUGAGCUUCAAAGGUUUGGCCAGCAGGUAUGGGGGGUUGCUGAGGAAUGGGAGCUCCGUGGUGAGAUGCCGCAGAGGCAGCACCUUCCAUCUGCAGCAGCUGACAGCAAUCCCCAGAGAGGUCAGAUUCAUGCGCCCUUGGGUGCCUGCCAGGCUCAAUGUGCCUUCCAGGAAGAGACUCUGGGAGCCAUUACCAGCUGUCAAAGGGACCCUUUGUGAGUAUGGACACCUCAGCUUCUGGGAGGGGACAGGAUGCAUUGUGUUUAGGUCACAGUUGGAUGUCCCCCUUAAGGAAAUGUCAGUUUCAGGAGUGGCAGGAGUGUUUACUGUUUGAGCUAGAUUUUUUUCUUUUAUUGAUACAUAAUGUUUUACAUAUUUAUGG
ensembl:lincRNA